ensembl:lncRNA
CAGUGUUUUACCUGUGUUUUGUCAUUUUUAGUUACAUGUGAAAACCUAAGGUCAGUAGAGUGAUUUUUUUUUAACCAUGUGGUAGAGUUAUAUUUUGUAUGUUGCGUUAUGGCAGCCAUUCAGAUUGUUGUGUGGCAUAUUGAUGCCAUUAAUUGCAAAGCCUGGAACUCAAUUACUAAAGAAUGUGUUAUUAUUUCAUUAAGAGAAGUAUUUGUUUAUUAAACUCUCUUAAUAAUGCUGUGUUGUUAUGCAGCUUUUACAUUUUUAAUAUUGUCUUUUAAUCUUUCAGUGCAUGCUGAUAAUAAGUGGUGCUCAAAUAUAGCUGCAAGGAGCACUGACUGUGACCUUUUUUGAUGACAAAGAGUUUUGUUGUUGGCGUGGUUUUUCUUUGUUAAAAUUAGGUCUGAGAUUUUGGCUUGGCAGUACCCAUCUUGCAGUAGGGCUCUGGUAUUAGGGCGUGAGAAGGUGAUAAGUGUGAGAGUGCCUGGGUGUGACUGUUAAGCUGUCUCCAACAGUUACACUUGUUACUCACACUUGAUAUUUUGGAGGCUAAUGGCUUCAUGCAGAUGAAAUUGUCCAUCAUCGUUAUGCAAAUGAAUCGACUAUUCCUGAUUUUUUGAUAAAAGAAACUGAAUUACAAAUUUUUUUUUCUUUUGUUUUUUUUUAAAGAGCAAGGUCUGGUUAUUAAAGCAGUAGUAGUUUGGGAUGCACUAAUUUCCUGGCAGUGUUAAUGACUGCCACAUGAGUGGUAGUCACUGGCAUCUUAUAUGCCUCGAGUUGCAAAUGUGCAAACAUGUUGAUCAUGUUACCGGCUUCUCUGUCAUCAUCACCAUCAUGAUCAUCUUCUUGUCUCUUAACAUUACACUGCUUCACCAGCUUUCACUGAGAGCCUGCAUUUACCUAAAAAUAAUUUAUUCUUUUAUUCUUUUAUUUUAGUCUUUUAUUAUUAUUAUUAUUAUUAUUAUUAUUAUUAUUAUUAUACAAAAUGUUUUAUUCAGGUCACAGGGUGAUGCUUGAAUCUGUACCAGCUUGCAUUGGACAGAAGAUGGGAAAACCGGGGACAGUCCCUUGGAACUAUCUUAAAA